UGAACGCUGGCGGCGUGCCUAAUACAUGCAAGUCGAGCGAACGGACGAGAAGCUUGCUUUUCUGAUGUUAGCGGCGGACGGGUGAGUAACACGUGGAUAACCUACCUAUAAGACUGGGAUAACUUCGGGAAACCGGAGCUAAUACCGGAUAAUAUUUUGAACCGCAUGGUUCAAAAGUGAAAGACGGUCUUGCUGUCACUUAUAGAUGGAUCCGCGCUGCAUUGGCUAGUUGGUAAGGUAACGGCUUAACAAGGCAACGAUGCAUAGCCGACCUGAGAGGGGGCUCGCCCCCACUGGGGCUGAGACACGGGCCAGACUCCGCGGGGGGGCAGCAGUAGGGAAUCUUGCGCAAGGGGCGAAAGCCUGACGGAGCAACGCCGCGUGAGGGAUGAAGGUUGUCGGAUCUGAAAACUCUGUUAUUAGGGAAAAAAAUAUUUGUAAGUAUCUUUGCACACCGUGGGGGGACCAAAACAGAAAGCCCCGGGUAAAUACG
rnacentral:rRNA from 1 species